GUUUUCGUAGUGUAGUGGUUAUCACGUCUACCUCUCACGCAAAAGGUCCCCGGUUCGAAACCAGGCGGAAGCA